GUCGAUGAGCUUGACCGUGACUUUGCAGUGGGCUGGGAUAGGGUUAGGCCCCAGGUCUCGGGCCUGCACGUCAAUCUCCAGCAUCCCGUUUUCCUCAUAGUCCAGAUUGCCCUUCACACGGAUUAGGCCGGUCUUGGGGUCGAUGGAGAAGAGCUCCCGCACGCGGUCAGGCACGUAGCUGCUGAAAGAGUAGAGCACUUCACCAUUGGGACCUUCAUCGGCGUCGGUGGCGUUCAGAUCGAUGACCACUGUACCCAGCGGAGCGUUCUCGGGCAGUUCCACCAAGUAGGAUGGCGCCUCGAAGACCGGGCUGUUGUCGUUGGAGUCAAUCACCUUCACGUUGAUCUGUACGGUGGCGGAACGUGGAGGCUCGCCACCGUCCAGGGCAGUCAGCACGAGCGUAUGGUGAUUCUGUUGCUCGCGGUCCAGAGCCUUCUGGAUGACCAGUUCUGGGAACUUGGUGCCGUCGCCGCGGGACUUAACGUCCAGUCCAAAGAGGCCGUGAUCGUCGCGCGUGAGCAGAUCUCCUUGUCGUUGGCGAACACCUCGAGGGACAGCUGGCACUUGGCAUUGUGGCGGCACAGGGACUCGCGGUCGAUGCGCUGCUUGGUGUAGAGGAGCCCGCUGUCUGCGUCCACGUCCAGCAGGUGCGGU
ensembl:lncRNA novel transcript, antisense to PCDH17